CAUAUGGAUUCCUACGGGAGGCAGCAGUGGGGAAUAUUGGACAAUGGGCGCAAGCCUGAUCCAGCCAUGCCGCGUGAGUGAUGACGGCCUUAGGGUUGUAAAGCUCUUUCGGCGGGGACGAUAAUGACGGUACCCGCAGAAGAAGCCCCGGCUAACUUCGUGCCAGCAGCCGCGGUAAUACGAAGGGGGCUAGCGUUGUUCGGAAUCACUGGGCGUAAAGGGCGCGUAGGCGGCUUUGUAAGUCGGGGGUGAAAGCCUGGGCUCAACCACAGAAUUGCCUUCGAUACUGCAUGGCUUGAGACCGGAAGAGGUUAGUGGAACUGCGAGUGUAGAGGUGAAAUGCGUAGAUAUCGUAAGGAAGACCAGUGGCGAAGGCGAGUUCCUGGACAGUUGCUGACACUGAGGCACGAAGGCCAGGGGAGCAAACGGGAUUAGAUACCCCGGUAGUCCUGGCAGUAAACGGUGCGCGUUUGGUGUGGGAGGAUUCGACCCCUUCCGUGCCGGAGCUAACGCGUUAAACGCGCCGCCUGGGGAGUACGGUCGCAAGAUUAAAACUCAAAGAAAUUGACGGGGGCCCGCACAAGCGGUGGAGUAUGUGGCUUAAUUCGAUGCAACGCGAAGAACCUUACCUGGGCUUGACAUGCAUCUCUAAGUCGGUGAAAGCCGGCGAGUACCGCAAGGUACAAUUUGCACAGGUGCUGCAUGGCUGUCGUCAGCUCGUGUCGUGAGAUGUUGGGUUAAGUCCCGCAACGAGCGCAACCCCUGUGGCCUGUUGCCACCUACCUUCGGGUAGAGCACUCUGGCCAGACUGCCCUGUGAAACGGGGAGGAAGGUGGGGAUGACGUCAAGUCAGCAUGGCCCUUACGUCCAGGGCUGCACACGUACUACAAUGCCCAGUACAGAACGAGCCGAAACCGCGAGGUGGAGGAAAUCCCUAAAACUGGGUCUCAUAUUCGGAUCGCAGGCUGCAACUCGAUC
rnacentral:rRNA from 1 species